UCUACCUGGAAUGGAAUCCAGGGGCAAGCACAGGAGGGGUACGGCUGGAAAAACCGCCGUGCAACCCAAAGGUGUGACGCAUACCGAACUAAAGUAGGGAAAUGUGUGAGCCGGCUGCCGAGAAAAGCCGCUAUUGUUUGUACUGUACCCGUACCGUAAACCGACACAGGUGGAUGAGGAGAGAAUCCUAAGGCCGACGGAAGAAGCAUUGCUAAGGAACUCGGCAAAAUGACCCUGUAACUUCGGGAGAAAGGGUGCCUCGAAAGAGGCCGCAGAGAAUAGGCCCAAGCAACUGUUUAGCAAAAACACAGGUCUAUGCAAAACCGCAAGGUGAAGUAUAUGGGCUGACGCCUGCCCGGUGCUGGAAGGUUAAGGGGAGAUGUCAGGAGACGAAGCAUCGAACUUAAGCCCCAGUAAACGGCGGCCGUAACAAUAACGGUCCUAAGGUAGCGAAAUUCCUUGUCGGGUAAGUUCCGACCCGCACGAAAGGCGUAAUGAUUUGGGCGCUGUCUCGGCAAUGCAUCCGGUGAAAUUGAAGUGCCAGUGAAGAUGCUGGCUACCCGCGCCAGGACGGAAAGACCCCAUGGAGCUUUACUCCAGCUUGAUACUGGGAUUCGGUAUUGUAUGUACAGGAUAGGUGGGAGGCUGAGAAAUGGUGACGCCAGUCGCCAUGGAGCCGCUGUUGGGAUACCACCCUUGCAGUACUGGAUUUCUAACCAGCAGCCGUGAUCCGGCUGGGGGACAAUGUCAGGUGGGGAGUUUGACUGGGGCGGUCGCCUCCGAAAGGGUAUCGGAGGCGCUCAAAGGUUCCCUCAGAAUGGUCGGAAACCAUUCGAAGAGUGCAAAGGCAGAAGGGAGCUUGACUGCGACACCGACGGGUGGGGCAGGUACGAAAGUAGGACUUAGUGAUCCGGUGGUAUUAAGUGGGAAUGCCAUCGCUCAACGGAUAAAAGCUACCCUGGGAUAACAGGCUUAUCACUCCCAAGAGUUCACAUCGACGGAGUGGUUUGGCACCUCGAUGUCGGCUCAUCGCAUCCUGGGGCUGUAGUAGGUCCCAAGGGUUGGGCUGUUCGCCCAUUAAAGCGGUACGCGAGCUGGGUUCAGAACGUCGUGAGACAGUUCGGUCCCUAUCCGGCGUGGGCGUAGGAUAUUUGAGAGGAGCUGACCUUAGUACGAGAGGACCGGGUUGGACUGACCUCUGGUGCACCGGUUGUCAUGCCAAUGGCACAGCCGGGUAGCCAAGUCGGGAAGGGAUAAACGCUGAAGGCAUCUAAGCGUGAAGCCCCCCUCAAGAUGAGAUAUCCCCCGCAUAAGCGGUAAGACCCCUUGAAGACGACGAGGUAGAUAGGGCAGAGGUGGAAGUGCAGUAAUGUAUGGAGCUGACUGCUACUAAUAGGUCGAAGGCGAA
rnacentral:rRNA from 1 species